GCCCGGAGUCCACUAUCUCCGCAAGAACCGCCCCCACGCGGACCGGAAGCGGCGGUGCCAAAAGUGACGUCAGUUCCCGCCCGGCGCAAGACGUCACUAUUCUGCGCCGCGCCGGUCGUGCGCCGACGUGCGUCUCCCUCGGACUUUGCAGGAGCAGCCUCGUGCUUCCUUGAAAUCCCUAAUCUCUGCGAAGUCAAACUCUUAGUCCUCAUUUUAUUGCUUUACUUCACACUGAAGUAACCCAAGUUUUACUUUAAGCCCGUCACAUGUCUCAGUGAAUUCUAAAGCUUUACACAAAGUACAACCAAUGGUAUCCUGGCACUUGCUGUGUGAUGGGAUCGAUGCAAUCCUCUUCAAAUUGUGUUCUCAGAUGCCCGCCUUUUCCAGCUCCAAUGUAUCCUACGUACGUCUGCUGGACACUCCUCCCAACCCCACCAAUUUCAUAACUGCCUUUCUGUGAUUUAACAACCUUUAAUUCACUACUAAACUCAAAUACUGUUCAAUCAAGUUUUCGUUUUGUAUCAAGACUUUUCUCUGCUUAUGUGGCAAGUCUGCUGUCCAUACUGUAUUUCCAGUAUGCUAGGUUUAUUCUGGAGAAACUUAGUUUUAAUAUUACUUUCCCCUGCCUAGGGCACUCUGUCACUUUUCUCUCAGAAGCAAACUCCACUCCUUUAUGAAAUCUUCUCUGGCCUCAGAAUUCCUUACCUUCUGAAUACUAAUGACACUGAAACUGCCUUCAUGUUAAAUAAUAAACAAGAUGGAACAAAGGGAGAAUACCUGCUUCCAAGACCUAUUUGUAUUUCUUCCCUAGGACUAGAAAAAUGUAUGUAAGGACUUUGUACUGGCUGCUGCUUUCUUUCUAAUUAGGUAGCCAGUGUUCACUGGUUUACCAGCAGGAAAAAAAGGAAUGUGAGGAGCCCUCUGGCAACUGAGUAGGGCCCUUGGCCUAUGGAGACAUUGCAACUGUUUGUGCUGGAGCAGUGUCAACUCUGAAAUGGAACAGUAGUAUCAGGUGAUGACUAGCCUAUGAAAUCAUAGUUGUCUCCACUUAGACAUGAUUAAUACCAGCAACCAAAAACAUAAUGUCUUCUUAUACUCAUUAAUGUUGUCCUAGUAACGUGUACUUCAUAAUUAAGUUCAAUUAACAUCAAUAACAAAUACAUCAACAAUUGACUAAUUUUUAUGCAUACAAUGAAUGACACUCAAAAAAAAAAAAGCAAUAAAAU